UGGGGAAUUUUGGACAAUGGGCGAAAGCCUGAUCCAGCAAUGCCGCGUGUGUGAAGAAGGCCUUCGGGUUGUAAAGCACUUUUGUCCGGAAAGAAAUCCUUGGCUCUAAUACAGUCGGGGGAUGACGGUACCGGAAGAAUAAGCACCGGCUAACUACGUGCCAGCAGCCGCGGUAAUACGUAGGGUGCAAGCGUUAAUCGGAAUUACUGGGCGUAAAGCGUGCGCAGGCGGUUUGCUAAGACCGAUGUGAAAUCCCCGGGCUCAACCUGGGAACUGCAUUGGUGACUGGCAGGCUAGAGUAUGGCAGAGGGGGGCAGAAUUCCACGUGUAGCAGUGAAAUGCGUAGAGAUGUGGAGGAAUACCGAUGGCGAAGGCAGCCCCCUGGGCCAAUACUGACGCUCAUGCACGAAAAGCGUGGGGGAGCAAAACAGGAUUAGAUACCCCUGGUAGUCCACGCCCUAAAACGAUGUCAACUAGUUGUUGGGGAUUCAAUUUCCUUAGUAACGUAGCU
rnacentral:rRNA from 1 species